rnacentral:rRNA from 1 species
CCGGCACGGGUGAGUAACGCGUAUCCAACCUGCCGUCUACUCUUGGACAGCCUUCUGAAAGGAAGAUUAAUACAAGAUGGCAUCAUGAGUCCGCAUGUUCACAUGAUUAAAGGUAUUCCGGUAGACGGUGGGGAUGCGUUCCAUUAGAUAGUAGGCGGGGUAACGGCCCACCUAGUCUUCGAUGGAUAGGGGUUCUGAGAGGAAGGUCCCCCACAUUGGAACUGAGACACGGUCCAA